ACUUAAACGGAAAUAGAUAUGGUUUGAAUGUCGUAGCUAUUUUCUACAAAUCGAUAUAACAAAAAUGGAAAACUAAAUCGAAAUAGAACCAAGAUCCGGAUCGUACACCUCUCUAGUGAUUCAGUCUUACGAACGCUUCCAGAGAUGCUGCAGCAACCAUGGUUUAAGCUACGUUUCAUAAAUUCGCCGUCACCGACGAUAUUCACGGCUUCAAGGAUUGAGGCGGAAGACGGUUCUCCGAUAGCAAUCGAGCUUGUUGACGCCGUCUCAAACACUCGAAUUACCUCAGGGCCGCUUUCGUCUUCGCGUGUCGAGAUAGUCGCCCUAGACGCCGACCUCACUGAAGAAAGUUGGACAACGGAGGUGUUCAACCGGAAUCUACUGUGGUCACGGGAAGGGAAACGAUCAUUGCUGGUCGGAGAUCUGAUCGUGAUACUUAAAGACGGGACCGGAGUGAUCAGCGGGGAGAUAUCGUUCACGGAUGAUUCGAGCUGGUUGAAGGAUGGUAAGUUCCGAUUAGGUGCUAGAGCGACAGAAGGAGGAGUUGUGGAGGCGGUAACUAACGCCUUCGCGUGCUUAGCUCAUCGACAAGGAUUUUAUCCCGGAUCUGGGAUUUGGAGUCUACCAAAGCCGCGUUCCGACUUGUGGAUCUAUGAUCAUCAUCGCAGAAGCUUUGGGGACUACGAGCCGCCCAACACUUCUCAAGAGAAGAGGAUUAAGAAAGCUGUCUCGCUGUCGAACAUUGUCUAUCCACCCCGCGGGAUUUCAGACAUUGAUUUGUUUUCGUAUAAGAAUUUGGAUCCAUUAUCACUUACAGGCUUUACAUCAGAUUACUUAGAUAAUCUGGAAUUUCCAGACGCUACAAGAAGCAGAAUUGCCUCUCAGCCUCAGCUUCUAAGUGGAUCAUCUGCCCCUAAAGAUUAUGAUGUUGUAAUUAGGUACAGGAGAGGGGACGUAAACAACGAGGAUUUCAUUAGCCAUCUUCUUGCUGCCCUCUCCCGUAGAAGGAUUUCUGUCUAUGGAGACUUUGAUGAAGUGGAUUCAGUGCAGGAAUGUAAGGUUUUGAUCAUCUUAUUAACCAGCACAUACGUCCCUCCGAAUCUCUUAAGCAUUGUUGAACAACAACGAAAAGAGCCUCAAGUGGUUUAUCCGAUUUUUUAUGGAAUAUCACCAUCUGAUUUGAUCAGUAACAGCAAGUAUUAUGAGGGACUUUUGCUUCAAGAUGAGCCUGAACGAUGUCAUGCUGCUUUGAGGGAAAUAACUCAGAUGCCUGGCUACAUAUUGACAGAUAAAUCUUGCAGGUCCGAGUCUGAACUUAUAGCUGAGAUUGUUAGAGACGCUCUGAAGGUGCUAUGUUCCUAUGAUGAUAAGAAAAUGAUUGGGAUGGGUACGCAGAUAAAGGAUAUUUUGUCACUGCUAUGCAUUGAAUCCCCAGAUGUUCGCAGCGUAGGUAUAUGGGGAACGGUUGGUAUAGGAAAAACAGCCAUUGCUGAAGAAAUCUUUCGUAGAAUCUCUGUCCAAUUUGUGACUUGUGUCUUCCUGAAGGACCUUCAUCAAGAAGUAGAAUUAAAAGGUCCUGAUGCUGUGAGAGAGAAGUUAUUAUCGGAAGUUUUAGAGGUAGAACCACGUGUUAUUCGAAUUUCCGGCAGGAAAACAAGUUUCUUGAGGAAUAGGCUUCAAUGUAAAAAGGUCCUGGUAGUUCUCGACGAUGUGAAUGAUUUCAGAGAUGUUGAAACCUUUUUGGGAAAGCUUAGCUAUUUUGGUCCAGGAAGCAGAAUAAUCAUAACCUCGAGGAACAGACGUGUUUUCGUGCUAUGCAAAAUCAAUCAUGUCUAUAAAGUCAAGCCAUUAGAAAGUUAUAAGGCUCUACGACUUCUCAAUCUCGGGGCACGUCCGAGUUUUUUCUCACUCAAGCCUACAAGGACAUACUCACCACAGCUGGUCAAAUUCUCAAAUGGAAAUCCCAUGGUUCUUCAGUUCUUAAGCAGGUCGAGCAGAGAAUGCUUAUCAAAAGAAAUUCGGAAAUCUUCUGCCAUUUACAUUCCAGGUAUAUUCGAAAGAAGCUGCUGUGGGCUUGAUGACAACGAAAAGAGUAUAUUUUUAGACGUUGCAUGUUUCUUUAGAAGGAUGGAUAAAGACGAUGUCGCAAUGUUGCUUGAUGGAUGUGGUUUCUCUGCACAUAUUGGGUUUAAAAACCUUGUUAACAAAUCACUGUUAACCAUAUCACACAAUAUGGUGGACAUGCUCUGGUUCCUCCAGGCAACAGGUCGAGAAAUUGUUCGCCAAGAAUCAAUUGACAGGCCAGGAGACCGCAGCAGGUUGUGGAAUGCUGAAGAUAUUAGGGAUGUAUUCAUAGAUAACACUGGCACAGCAGCUAUUGAGGGGAUUUUUCUGGACAUGUCACAGCUGAAAUGUGAUGCCAAUGCCAAUGUAUUCGACAAAAUGUGUAACCUUAGACUGUUAAAGUUUUAUUUCUCUAAAGUGGUAGAGAACCAUGGAGUAUCUUUACCUCAAGGCCUUGAAUAUUUGCCGAGCAAGCUAAGGCUUCUGCACUGGGAAUGCUAUCCUAUAAGCUCAUUGCCGCAAUGUUUUGAUCCAAAGAACCUCAUAGAGCUUAACAUGCCAAAUAGUUGUGUGAAGAAACUUUGGAAAGGCAAAAAGAGUCUGGAAAAGCUUAAAAAGAUGAGACUUAGUUACUCCCACCAGUUAACAAAAAUCCCAAGACUUUCAAGAGCGCAGAAUCUCGAGCUUCUUGAUCUUGAAGGUUGCAAGAGUUUGGUGAGCAUCAGCCAGUCUAUCUGUUAUCUUAAAGAGCUUGUUAUUCUGAAUCUGAAGGACUGCUCGAAUCUGGAGAGCAUACCAUCUACGGUUGAUUUAGAGUCUCUUGAGGUUUUGAAUCUCUCUGGCUGCUCGAAGCUAGAGAAUUUCCCGGAGAUCUCGCCAAAUGUGAAAGAACUGUACUUGGGUGGGACUAUGUUACAAGAAAUACCUUCAUCGCUUAAGAACUUGGUACUGCUUGAAAAACUUGAUCUGGAAAACAGCGGACACCUCGUUAAUCUUCCACCGAGCAUCUGCAAGUUGAAACAUCUUGAAACACUGAAUCUGUCAGGCUGCUCAAGCCUUGAGCGAUUUCCAGACUUGUCUAGAAAGAUGAAAUGCUUAAAGUCUCUGGAUUUAAGCAGAACGGCCAUUAAAGAGCUACCCUCCUCCAUUUCAUACCUGACUGCUCUUGAAGAACUGAGAUGUGUCGCCUGCAGGAGCCUCGUAAGGUUACCUGAUAAUAUGUGGAGCCUAAGAUUCAAGGUUCAAUUCCGCCAAAUUGACACACAGAAGUUUUCACGACUGUGGAAUAGAUUAGGUUGGCUUAAGAAAGUUCAUACUUAGGAGAGGCAGCGAGGCUGCUCAAGCCUCCAUCAUCUCAGCAAAGGAGCAAUUUCGAAGCAGACAAUGCGUAAGAGAGGCAAGAAGUGGCCCCAAGUACCAGGGCAUCCUCGAAGCUUCUCAGAAGUAUCCAUAGACGGAAAAAGUGAAGUCAGUAUGCAACCUCUGCAGAGUACCACACUACCACUCAAGUUUACAUGGAAGAUGGCACACCAAAGAUCUAUCGCUGUCAAGCUCCUUCUGGAUGUCUUUUACAUGCUGUAGCAACUAGAAUUCGGGUUGUAAGAAAGUGGGUCAUUCAUAGAGGUAUGGCCAACUCUUCAGAACAGACCUUAUCAGUUGUAUUUGAUCAAGGGCAUAGACUGGACUGCUUUAGGCAUUGGAGAACCUAUGCUAACGAGUAAGCCAUGGCUUGAUCCCGUACAAAUUAGGGAGGCAAAAAUUCUGGUGGAAGUGAAAGAAUUUUUCUCUGCCUAUCCUUUGGUCACUCCUGAGUCUACUACAAUAGUUAUCUUAACGGCUGAAUCUGCUUGAAAUAAAAGGAAAACAAUGCUCUGUUAAAAAAAAAAAUUCUCAUAUGUUCUUUGUUAUACAUUACAGAUACUCUUGAAUUAGUGCAGAAAGAACUUGUCAACGUUAACAUCAAAUAUCACACAAAAAUCUUCUCCUU